rnacentral:rRNA from 1 species
CCUACGGGUGGCAGCAGUGAGGAAUAUUGGUCAAUGGCCGUAAGGCUGAACCAGCCAAGUAGCGUGAGGGAAGACUGCCCUAUGGGUUGUAAACCUCUUUUAUGCGGGGAUAAAGGUGUCCACGUGUGGAUGUUUGCAGGUACCGCAUGAAUAAGGACCGGCUAAUUCCGUGCCAGCAGCCGCGGUAAUACGGAAGGUCCGGGCGUUAUCCGGAUUUAUUGGGUUUAAAGGGAGCGUAGGCCGGUCUUUAAGCGUGCCGUGAAAUUUUGUGGCUCAACCAUGGGAGUGCGGCGCGAACUGGGGACGUUGAGUGAGCGAAAGGCAGGCGGAAUGCGUGGUGGAGCGGUGAAAUGCUUGGAUAUCACGAAGAACCCCGAUUGCGAAGGCAGGAGGCCGCAGCGUUACUGACGCUGAAGCACGAAAGCGGGGGUAUCGAACAGGAUUAGAGACCCUGGUAGUC